rnacentral:rRNA from 1 species
UACGUAGGCAGCGAGCGUUGUUCGGAAUUACUGGGCGUAAAGGGUGCGUAGGCGGGUCUUUAAGUCAGGGGUGAAAUCCUGGAGCUCAACUCCAGAACUGCCUUUGAUACUGAGGAUCUUGAGUUCGGGAGAGGUGAGUGGAACUGCGAGUGUAGAGGUGAAAUUCGUAGAUAUUGGGAAGAACACCGGUGGCGAAGGCGGCCAUCUGGACCGCAACUGACGCUGAGGCGCGAAAGCGUGGGGAGCAAACAGG